rnacentral:rRNA from 1 species
UACGUAGGGUGCAAGCGUUGUCCGGAUUUAUUGGGCGUAAAGCGCUCGCAGGUGGUUCGUCGCGUCGUGCGUGAAAGACCCCGGCUCAACUGGGGAGGGUCGUGCGAUACGGGCGGACUGGAGGCCAGUAGGGGGAUGCGGAAUUCCGGGUGUAGUGGUGGAAUGCGUAGAGAUCCGGAGGAACACCAGCGGCGAAGGCGGCAUCCUGGACUGGUCCUGACACUCAGGAGCGAAAGCGUGGGGAGCGAUCCGG